CACGUAGGGUCCGAGCGUUGUCCGGAAUUACUGGGCGUAAAGCGUGCGCAGGCGGUUGGGUCAGUCGCUGGUGAAAGCCCCACGCUCAACGUGGGAAUGGCCGACGAGACGGCCCGACUGGAGGCAGGGAGAGGCCGGUGGAAUUCCGGGUGUAGUGGUGAAAUGCGUAGAGAUCCGGAGGAACACCAGCGGCGAAGGCGGCAUCCUGGACUGGUACUGACGCUCAUGAGCGAAAGCGUGGGGAGCGAUCCGG
rnacentral:rRNA from 1 species